rnacentral:rRNA from 1 species
CAGGCCUAACACAUGCAAGUCGAACGAAGGCUUCGGCCUUAGUGGCGCACGGGUGCGUAACGCGUGGGAAUCUGCCCUUGGGUUCGGAAUAACAGCGAGAAAUUGCUGCUAAUACCGGAUGAUGACGUAAGUCCAAAGAUUUAUCGCCCAGGGAUGAGCCCGCGUAGGAUUAGCUAGUUGGUGAGGUAAAGGCUCACCAAGGCGACGAUCCUUAGCUGGUCUGAGAGGAUGAUCAGCCACACUGGGACUGAGACACGGCCCAGACUCCUACGGGAGGCAGCAGUGGGGAAUAUUGGACAAUGGGCGAAAGCCUGAUCCAGCAAUGCCGCGUGAGUGAUGAAGGCCUUAGGGUUGUAAAGCUCUUUUACCCGGGAUGAUAAUGACAGUACCGGGAGAAUAAGCUCCGGCUAACUCCGUGCCAGCAGCCGCGGUAAU